rnacentral:rRNA from 1 species
GACAGAGGGGGCAAGCGUUGCUCGGAAUCACUGGGCGUAAAGGGCGCGUAGGCGGGAUGGCAAGUCGGUCGUGAAAUCCUUCGGCCCAACCGAAGAACGUCGGCCGAUACUGCCGUUCUUGGGGGAUGCAGAGGAGACUGGAAUUCCUGGUGUAGCGGUGAAAAUGCGCAGAUAUCAGGAGGAACACCGAUGGCGAAGGCAGGUCUCUGGGCAUUAACUGACGCUGAGGAGCGAAAGCAUGGGGAGCGAACAGG